GCUUAGCAAGAAGAUGGUGGCUGAGCUACCAAGAGCGGAUUGCAGCUAGCACGGCGGAUUGCAGCUAGCAAGUGAGCUUGGUUGGCAGAGAAGUGGACGGAAGGUUGCGGAAUUGUGGCUCUUGUUUCCCGUGUCUCCAACCCAGCUGCCAGCGAGAAUAUAGUGGUGUGACUCCCCUACUGUGGCUCUGUGGGUGUUCCUUUUUGGCCUCACCAUAUCCUGCGUUCUUAUGUGGGGAGCGGGAGCUGAGACCCCGCAUGACACCCUGCAUAACAACACGCAUGACAACACACAGAUGGGACUGCAAGUUAACCUGUGACACGACCUGACACAAUCUAUGCAGCCAACUUUCACGUUUUGCUCUGUGGACACCUGUGUGUCAGUCAUGGUUUGUUUUUUUAAAUUGUGCCCUGGGUGUGAAGCCCCUCCCCCCAGCUGUGCUGUCUCAACCUAGUUUCCUGGUGGUAAAAUGUGGGUGACAACACCUCCUGUCUCUGGAGCUGCCCUGUGGAUUAGCACACACACAAGAGGCGCCGUCACUGGGGCCCCAAGCCCGGAUGGCCCUGCAUUAUCCCAGGUGCCGAGCAAGCCCCACUCCUGCCAGCCCCGUUUGGGACACAGCCUAACUUCAGGAAUCUGCUGGUUGGUGGACCUCUCCCUCGCCCCCAGUCCUUGCCAUAAGGAGAGCGAGGAUUCAGAAGAGACCGGACACCACACCCACUAGGAUGGCUAUCCUCAAAAAAGACAAUGACAAGUGUUAACAGGGCUGUGGAGAGACUGGGACCCUCACAUGCCUGGUGGGAAUGUAAAAUGGUGCAGCCACUGGGGACGAGUUUGGUGGUUUCUCAAAAGGUUAAAGCCAGGAUUCUCAUGGGAUAAAGCAGUUCCACUCCUGGAUGUAGAUGCGAAAGAACUGAAAGAGGACUUGGACUGAUUCACGUCCAUCGUGCUCACAGCAGCAUUAUUCACAAAGAGCUAAAAGAAGAAAAAGAGAGGCUGACAGGCAGAGCGUGGAUGGAGCAGGAAGACCGCUGCACUCACCAACGUGAUCCUCCGAUCUCUGUUGAGCGUCAGACCUGGGAGGAAAGCACAGAGACUGACCUCAGCACCGCCUGGUGGGGGACGGCGGACACCCAGCAAUGCCACGCCUGGGAAAUGUCCCCUUGAGAAAUGGCUGCAGGAGUGUCACGGAGGGCACAGAAGCACAGACCGUGGAGACUGCCUGCUGUUAGCGGGAUGGACAAGCUGACUCUAGGAUCCCCAGGCAUGAGCACACAGGCUGCCCGGGGCAGGGGUCCAGGACUGGUGGUUCAACGUGGGACUCUUUGGAUGACAUCAGCCCUGGACGGAAACCUCAGAGAACCUUUCAACCCUCUCCCUCCCCGUUCCUCUGCUGGGAACUACCAUGGUCACAGACUCAGAUGCCGGCAGAGGCUGGGCAGAGUGAGUGCAGUGCCCACUCACACGCCAUGGCAGCGGAGUCUGCCAGCCACUGUUGCCUGUGGAGAACACACAGUGUGUUGCCAGGUCUUCCCAUUUUUCAAAAGAAGCUGAAAAUCUCCAGUUUUACAUAACAUCUUUCUAUUUUAAAUAUGAACAACUUAUUCAAAAUUCCCCUCAUGCCAAAAUUUUGUGUUUAAGCUGUACAACCCAAACAAAUCCUGCUUGCAACCCCAGGCCCACCCAGCCUGUGGUGAGGAUGGAGCGUCCCCCAACGUGGGCAGGCUGCAGGGCCCGAAUACUGGCACAGGCAUGUCCUUUGUCAUUAGGAAACCCCAACCAGAGCUGGACUCGUCCCUCUUUCACGCCAACACCUCCAGCUUGUUUCCAGAAGGUCUAGGCCAGUAUUAAGACAGGACUCAGAUAAGAACGCAGAUAAGAUAAGGAGUUGGCCUCUCUCUCCCUACACUGGCUCACUGCCUCCUGGUUUCACCCACCCGCAGGGUCAAGUUCAAGCCUCCCAAGCCUUUCCCGGUGGCUCCCUUUGCCUGGAUCACAUUCCUGCUGGAUUUCCGUCUGGCCAGC